rnacentral:rRNA from 1 species
UACGGAGGGUGCAAGCGUUGUCCGGAUUUAUUGGGUUUAAAGGGUGCGUAGGCGGCCCUGUAAGUCAGUGGUGAAAUACUGCAGCUUAACUGUAGCAUUGCCAUUGAUACUGUAGGGCUUGAGUACAGAUGAGGUAGGCGGAAUUGAUGGUGUAGCGGUGAAAUGCAUAGAUACCAUCAAGAACACCGAUUGCGAAGGCAGCUUACUAAGCUGUAACUGACGCUGAGGCACGAAGCGUGGGGAUCGAACAGG